ACAGCAAAACCAACAGAAAUCAGAAUGGUCCACACUUCCUUCUGGGAAGAGGAACAAUGUCCAUAAAAGAUUAAAAAAAUAAUAAAGAAGCAUGACUAUUUCUUCCAGCGUGGGUGACCCACAAGCUCACAUGGUCCUAAGUGCUUAGUAACUUGUAUUUUCUAAUCAAAUGAAGAACUGCUUUGAGUGCGCAAAGCAAUCCAUGGUGAAAAGAUUUCCCUGAACUCCUCAGUGGAAAGAAGAGGUGUCGAGAUUUUCAGAACUUGAAGGUAUGAAUUCAUUGCUGAAGAUAACACACACCUCUGGGACGCAGGACUUGAGGGAAGUCACCUGGAACUGACUGAAGGUCCCUCUGCAUGGAAGAGCUUCCAGAGUGAGGGAGAGCUCGUUUCCUCAUGGAUGCCCAAGCCUGCAUGCUCUCACUAAAUUACUGUUGGGCCACUGCUGAAGCUGCUGUAGACAUUCAAGUGAUCUGGAUGACAUCUUCUUUAGGGAAAAGGGAAAGCUAGUAUCUGCAGAGACAUUUGGACCUAUGGUGGGACUUCCUUGGAAAACGUGCAAGAUGUACAAAGGGUAUAACACUAAAUGUCUUAAGAAAGUUCUUAUUAAGCAAGUUGAUGAUCAUCCAAGAGAACUGCAUUCUCGUUUACUUU
ensembl:antisense Gm11802 predicted gene 11802